AGGCACUUCACACAAGUAAGGUCUAACCGUACCAACCCCCAGAGCAAGCACACAGGCGACAGUGGUAAGGAAAAACUCCCUCUGAGGAAGAAACCUCAAGCAGACCAAACUCAAUGUGGGUGACCCACUGCUUGGGCCAUGCUACCGACACAAUU